rnacentral:lncRNA from 1 species
CGUCGAUCGACGGUUCUUCUAGCAAGCUUUGCGAGCGGGUUUGAAGUUGUUCUCUAACCUUCUAGACCAACUCUCGUUGUUAUCUAGUCAGUUAGAUCACGCUGGCUAUUUCAGGUAUUGAGGGUAACAGUUGGUUAUCUCAAUUAAUCUUAAGAUCUAAAAUGAAGGUGACCAAUUCUUAUUUUAGCAUUAAGCUCAGCUAGCAUGAAAGAACUAUCAAAACACUUUUUUUAACAGUCUUAUUAGCAGC